rnacentral:rRNA from 1 species
CACGCAGGCGGUUUGUUAAGUCAGAUGUGAAAUCCCCGGGCUCAACCUGGGAACUGCAUUUGAAACUGGCAAGCUAGAGUCUCGUAGAGGGGGGUAGAAUUCCAGGUGUAGCGGUGAAAUGCGUAGAGAUCUGGAGGAAUACCGGCGGCGAAGGCGGCCCCCUGGACGAAGACUGACGCUCAGGUGCGAAAGCGUGGGGAGCAAACA